GCAGCUCACGCGUGAGGAUUUCCGGUCGGCCGGUGCGACAAAACGGACAAGCUCCGAAACGAAAAGCCAAUAGUCCAGCCAUGUUGACGCAAAUAAUUUUUGCCGUCGUUCUGAUCGAUGUCGCGAGCUCCUCGAACCAAGGCAGUUACACGGAGGCGUGCGGUAACCAGCCGUGUCCGUGGCCGCUGAAGUGCCAGCAGCACGGCGACGUGUACGUCUGUGCGCGCGUGCCACCGCCCACCUGCGCUGCCACCAGCUGCCCGUCCGGAUUCGAGUGUGUUCUACAGCAGGCGCUAUGCGACUCCCUGCCCUGUAACCCGCGACCCUACUGCGUCA